rnacentral:rRNA from 1 species
GGCUCUUUGUUGAUUAAUUUAUAGGGAGUCGGACCUGCCCGGUGACUUAAUUGUUAAACGGCCGCGGUACCCUAACCGUGCUAAGGUAGCAUAAUCAUUUGCCUUUUAAUUGGAGGCUAGUAUGAAUGGUUUGACGAGAACUAAGCUGUCUCUUUCGGAAUAUUUAGAAUUUAAUUUUUAGGUGAAGAAGCCUAAAUUUAGUUGAGGGACAAGAAGACCCUGUUGAGCUUUAGUGAAAUAGUAUAUGGUGUCUUGUUGAAUGGAUAAGUGUUAUAUUUUAUAAAUUAAUUAUAUUAAUAAUCUUUAGUUGGGGCGACUGAGGAACAUAUAAAGCUUCCUUUAAGUUUGAAUAAUGUGUGUUGGCAGAUUAUUAUAGAUCCAGUAUAGUUGUAUUGAUCAAAGGAAAAAGUUACCACAGGGAUAACAGCGUAAUCUUUCUGGAGAGAUCUUAUCGAAAGAAGGGUUUGCGACCUCGAUGUUGGACUAAGAUAUCCUGAGGGUGUAGAAGCUCUCGAUGGUUGGUCUGUUCGACCAUUAAAAUCUU